rnacentral:rRNA from 1 species
UACGUAGGGGGCAAGCGUUGUCCGGAUUUAUUGGGCGUAAAGAGCGUGUAGGCGGCCAUGUAGGUCCGUUGUGAAAACUCGAGGCUCAACCUCGAGACGCCGAUGGAAACCAUGUGGCUAGAGUCCGGAAGAGGAGAGUGGAAUUCCUGGUGUAGCGGUGAAAUGCGCAGAUAUCAGGAGGAACACCGGUGGCGAAGGCGGUUCUCUGGGCAUUACCUGACGCUGAGGAGCGAAAGUGUGGGGAGCGAACAGG